rnacentral:misc_RNA from 1 species
AGCCGUCCCUCGUGUUGCAAAUCUAUUUAAUCCACACGACUCUCGGCAACGGAUAUCUCGGCUCUCGCAUCGAUGAAGAACGUAGCGAAAUGCGAUACCUGGUGUGAAUUGCAGAAUCCCGCGAACCAUCGAGUCUUUGAACGCAAGUUGCGCCCGAGGCCACUCGGCCGAGGGCACGCCUGCCUGGGCGUCACGCCAAAACACGCUCCCAACCACUCUCAACGGGAAUCGGGAUGCGGCAUCUGGUCCCUCGUCUCUCAAGGGACGGUGGACUGAAGAUUGGGCUGCCGGCGUACCGCGCCGGACACAGCGCAUGGUGGGCGUCCUCGCUUUAUCAAUGCAGUGCAUCCGGCGCGCAGCUGGCAUUAUGGCCUUUGAACGACCCAACAAACGAAGCGCACGUCGCUUCGACCGCGACCCCAGGUCAGGCGGGACUACCCGCUGAGUUUAAGCAUAUAAAUAAGCAGAGGAGAAGAAACUUACAAGGAUUCCCCUAGUAACGGCGAGCGAACCGGGAGCAGCCCAGCAUGAGAUUCGGGCGGCUGUGCCGUCCGAAUUGUAGUCUGGAGAGGCGUCCUCAGCGACGGACCGGGCCCAAGUCCCCUGGAAAGGGGCGCCUGGGAGGGUGAGAGCCCCGUCCGGCCCGGACCCUGUCGCCCCACGAGGCGCCGUCAACGAGUCGGUUUGUUUGGGAAUGCAGCCCAAAUCGGGCGGUAGACUCCGUCCAAGGCUAAAUACAGGCGAGAGACCGAUAGCGAACAAGUACCGCGAGGGAAAGAUGAAAAGGACUUUGAAAAGAGAGUCAAAGACUGCUUGAAAUUGCCGGGAGGGAAGCGGAUGGGGGCCGGCGAUGCGCCCCGGCCGUAUGCGGAACGGCUCUUGCUGGUCCGCCGCUCGGCUCGGGGUGUGGACUGUUGUCGGCCGCGCCGGCGGCCAAAGCCCGGGGGCCCUAGGUGCCCCCGGUGGCCGUCGUCGGCACGGCCGGUACCCGCGCGCCGAAAGGCGUGUCCCUCGGGGCACUGCGCUGCAACGGCCUGCGGGCUCCCCAUCCGACCCGUCUUGAAACACGGACCAAGGAGUCUGACAUGCGUGCGAGUCGACGGGUUCUGAAACCUGGGAUGCGCAAGGAAGCUGACGAGCGGGAGGCCCUCACGGGCCGCACCGCUGGCCGACCCUG